CGGUGCCUCCGGCGUCCUAGAGCGGCCGCGGGCAGCCGGCGCUGGGCCGGGGUCCUGGGGCUAGUCUCGCGGGUCCUGAGCUCCGCCGCCUGCUUCCGGUCCUGGAAGAUGCCGGCGGUCUUUCGCUCGGGGACGCUGGCCCCGAGUCCUCUCGUCAGGUGGCGACGCCCAGGCGGGGCGGCUCCCUCUGAGGAGUCGGGUUCCGCCUGUUAGGCCCCCGCGGCCUCCGCCUCGAGCCUCCUCCAGCCGCGGAGACGAGCUUGUCUGCGGCGGGCCGGCGGGCGGAGGGCGCGCCUGUGGGCGCCGCGUGGGUAACGAGGCCCCGCGCCCAGGAGGGCCGGCUCCCGGGCCGGGCGCGCUCCGUCUCGUGUCGCCUGACUUCGGGCGGCCUGGUGAGCCUUCCCGAGUUUUCUGAACGUAAACGUGAAGUCGCUCAGUCGUGUCCGACUCUUUGCGACCCCAUGGACUGUAGCCUAUCAGGCUCCUCUGUCCAUGGGAUUUUCCAGGCAAGAGUACUGGAGUGGGUUGCCAUUGCCUUCCCCAAGGGAUCUUCCCAACCCAGGGAUCGAACUCGGGUCUCCCGCAUCGUAGACAAACGCUUUACUGUCUGAGCCGCCAGGGAAGUUUUCUAGACCCCUCAAUACCGGCUUCCAUACGUAGCGGGCUUUGUGAGAAAGAACUGAAAAAAUAGGUGUGGACGUGAGUCAGUGCUGUUUACUUCUUGACCGCUUCCUGUGGGCCUGGUAUUAUUAACCGCUAAACACGGAAACACUUCUUUUCAGUAAAUGCUUGGAGAUUGCGUGCUGUGCGGCAAUCAACACUGCAAGGCGCCUGCAAUGCUGCGAGUGGUCAUGUAUGGAUGUGAGAGUUGGACUAUAAAAAAAGCUGAGCACCGAAGAAUUGAUGCUUUUGAACUGUGGUGUUGGAGAAGACUCUUGAGAGUGCCUUGGACUGCAAGGAGAUCCAACCAGUCCAUCCUAAAGGAGAUCAGUCCUGGGUGUUCAUUGGAAGGACUGAUGUUGAAGCUGAAGGAGAAGGGGGACGACAGAGGAUGAGAUGGUUGGAUGGCAUCACCGACUCAAUGGAUGUGAGUUUGAGCAAGCUUCAGGAGUUGGUGAUGGACAGGGAGGCCUGGAGUGCUGUGGUUCACGGGGUCGCAGAGUCAGACACGACUGAGCAACUGAACUGAAGACAUGAUAUAAAAAUUUUAAAUCCUACAUAUAAAGUAGUAAAAAUAGCUGGUCUCAGAUUUUCUUAAUUGUUUUCAAAAAUGAGAAAACAGAACCUGACUACCAUGGACUGGAUAGGAAUGCAGGACUUCAUUUCUUAUCGUACUAUGUCUAUAUUAAUGGAAAAAUAACCUCAGCAUAUAGACUUCUGGAUAUUACAUUUUCAUAAACACAAGCA
ensembl:lncRNA